AACGAACGCUGGCGGCAUGCCUAACACAUGCAAGUCGAACGAAGCCUUCGGGCUUAGUGGCGCACGGGUGCGUAACGCGUGGGAAUGUGCCCCUGGGUUCGGAAUAACAGUUAGAAAUGACUGCUAAUACCGAAUGAUGUCUUCGGACCAAAGAUUUAUCGCCCAAGGAUGAGCCCGCGUCGGAUUAGCUAGUUGGUGAGGUAAAGGCUCACCAAGGCGACGAUCCGUAGCUGGUCUGAGAGGAUGAUCAGCCACACUGGGACUGAGACACGGCCCAAACUCCUACGGGAGGCAGCAGUGGGGAAUCUUGCGCAAUGGGCGAAAGCCUGACGCAGCCAUGCCGCGUGAAUGAUGAAGGUCUUAGGAUUGUAAAAUUCUUUCACCGGGGUACGAUAAUGACGGUACCCGGAGAAGAAGCCCCGGCUAACUUCGUGCCAGCAGCCGCGGUAAU
rnacentral:rRNA from 1 species